GUCCUCACUCGCCGUCGGUAAGACUCAGUUUCUUCUCUCUUGUGUUUCUAUUGUCUCUGCAGAUCUUUGCUGAAGACUCCAACUGUUUUAACCUUAUUCUUCUGUGGAGGUUGAGGAAAAAGGAGGUUUUUCUUCAUACCCAUGUGCAAAAUUUAUUUUUUGAGCUUUAUUGAUUGGUCCUGAUAAGGUUCUGCUGCUAAUUCAUUGUUCUGUGUGGUGUGUAUUGUGAGCUACUACUAUUGAAGCUGUGUGGUGAAAGAAUUUUACAGAAGGAAGUGGUAUUGUAUU